CACGUAGGCACCAAGCGUUGUCCGGAUUUAUUGGGCGUAAAGAGCUCGUAGGUGGUUCGGUAAGUCGGGUGUGAAAACUUUGGGCUUAACCCAAAGCCUGCAUCCGAUACUGCUGUGACUAGAGUUCGGUAGGGGAGCGGGGAAUUCCUAGUGUAGCGGUGAAAUGCGCAGAUAUUAGGAGGAACACCGGUGGCGAAGGCGCCGCUCUGGGCCGAUACUGACACUGAGGAGCGAAAGCGUGGGUAGCAAACAGG
rnacentral:rRNA from 1 species